CUGGCGGCAGGCCUAACACAUGCAAGUCGAACGGUAACAGGAAGCAGCUUGCUGCUUCGCUGACGAGUGGCGGACGGGUGAGUAAUGUCUGGGAAACUGCCUGAUGGAGGGGGAUAACUACUGGAAACGGUAGCUAAUACCGCAUAACGUCGCAAGACCAAAGAGGGGGACCUUCGGGCCUCUUGCCAUCGGAUGUGCCCAGAUGGGAUUAGCUAGUAGGUGGGGUAACGGCUCACCUAGGCGACGAUCCCUAGCUGGUCUGAGAGGAUGACCAGCCACACUGGAACUGAGACACGGUCCAGACUCCUACGGGAGGCAGCAGUGGGGAAUAUUGCACAAUGGGCGCAAGCCUGAUGCAGCCAUGCCGCGUGUAUGAAGAAGGCCCUCGGGUUGUAAAGUACUUUCAGCGGGGAGGAAGGCGAUAAGGUUAAUAACCUUGUUCGAUUGACGUUACC
rnacentral:rRNA from 1 species